UAAGCGGAGGAAAAGAAACUAACAAGGAUUCCCCUAGUAACGGCGAGUGAAGCGGGAAAAGCUCAAAUUUGAAAUCUGGUACUUUCAGUGCCCGAGUUGUAAUCUCGAGAAGUAUCUUGCGCAAGGAUUUUUAUUCAAGUCUGCUGGAACGCAGCGCAACAGUGGUGAUAGCCCCGUUUACAAUAUUAAUCUAAGCAUUUGUCUGAUACUUUCAAAGAGUCGAGUUGUUUGGGAAUGCAGCUCUAAUUGGGUGGUAAAUUCCAUCUAAAGCUAAAUAUUGGCGAGAGACCGAUAGCGAACAAGUACCGUGAGGGAAAGAUGAAAAGCACUUUGGAAAGAGAGUUAAAAGUACGUGAAAUUGUUGAAAGGGAAGCGCUUCAAGUCAGACUUUGUUUGAAUUAUCUAACAGGCUAGUAUGGAUUUAUUUAGUAUGAUAACGGAUAGAAGAAGGUAGCUGUAUUCAUACAGUGUUAUAGCUUCUGUUGCAGUGAUACUUUAUGGAUCGAGGAAAUCAAGAUACUAGUGGAAUGGCUUGACACGACCCGUCUUGAAACACG
rnacentral:rRNA from 1 species